rnacentral:rRNA from 1 species
CCUACGGGAGGCAGCAGUGGGGGAUAUUGCACAAUGGGGGAAACCCUGAUGCAGCGACGCCGCGUGGGCGAAGAAGUAUUUCGGUAUGUAAAGCCCUAUCGGCAGGGAAGAAGCAAGACGGUACCUGACUAAGAAGCCCCGGCUAACUACGUGCCAGCAGCCGCGGUAAUACGUAGGGGGCGAGCGUUAUCCGGAUUCACUGGGUGUAAAGGGAGCGUAGACGGCCAUGCAAGCCAGGGGUGAAAGCCCGGGGCCCAACCCCGGGACUGCCCUUGGAACUGCAUGGCUGGAGUGCGGGAGGGGCAGGCGGAAUUCCUGGUGUAGCGGUGAAAUGCGUAGAUAUCAGGAGGAACACCGGCGGCGAAGGCGGCCUGCUGGACCGCGACUGACGUUGAGGCUCGAAAGCGUGGGGAGCGAACAGGAUUAGAUACCCCUGUAGUC